UCACUGCCUGGUCUUUCUAACCUACCUGAGGAUGGCCACAAGUAAAGAAUCAAAGGAGAACUUCUUUAUCCUGGCGGUGUUUGGAGAAAUUAUCUAUGAGAACUUCCUUUUUGACAUUCCCAAAAUGUUGGAUCUGACUGUGUUGUUUGAAAAGGCAACAGCCAGCUGCUGCAUAUGAUGACAGAGAAAAUCUUAACCCUGCAGCCUUUCUACCACAGUGACUUGGAUAAGAUGGUACCCAGUGAUACCCA